UGCCAGCCGCCGCGGUAAUACGGAGGGUGCAAGCGUUGUUCGGAAUCAUUGGCCGUAAAGCGCGUGUAGGCGGCUACUUAAGUCUGGUGUGAAAGCCCGGGGCUUAACCUAGGAACUGCAUCUGAAACUAGCUGUCUUGAGUGUCGGAGAGGGAAGCGGAAUUCCGGGUGUAGAGGUGAAAUUCGUAGAUAUCCGGAGGAACACCAGUGGCGAAGGCGACCACCUGGCCAAAUACUGACGCUGAGGUGCGAAAGCGUGGGGAGCAAACAGGAUUAGAUA
rnacentral:rRNA from 1 species